GGGCGAAUAGCUCAGCUGGUAGAGCACUUGCUUUACACGCAAGGGGUCACGGGUUCGAGCCCUGUUUCGCCCA
rnacentral:tRNA from 1 species